GACGAACGCUGGCGGCGUGCCUAAUACAUGCAAGUCGAACGCAGUUGGGACGGGUGAGUAACACGUGGGUAACCUCCCAUCAGAGGGGAUAACACUUGGUAACAGGUGCUAAACCGAUACUGAUGGAUGGACCCGCGGUGCAUUAGCUAGUUGGUGAGGUAACGGCUAACCAAGGCCACGAUGCAUAGCCGUCCGGAAGGGGGGAUCGGCCACACUGGGACUGAAGCACGGCCCAUACUCCACCGGGAGGCGGCAUUAGGAAAUGUUGGGCAAUGGACGAAAGUCUAACCGGGCAAGCCGGCUGGAGGGAAGAAGGUUUUGGGAUCUUAAAAUGUUGUGGUUAGGGAAGCGGUAACUAACCAGAAAGGGACGGCUAACUACGUGCCAGCCGCCGCGGUAAUUC
rnacentral:rRNA from 1 species